UUUCUCUCAUUCAUAGUAAAAAAAAAAGGGCCAUUUCUUUUAUUUUUCUCACCCUUCAAUCCAAACGGCGUGUUACGAAUCGUUCAUCGACGAUCGAGUCUGUGUUUGUGUGUUUGAAAGUCUUGAAAUUUCUCACACGGCACUGACUGCCAAACUCGCAAGAUUGAUGAUCUCAACUAACUAUCAAGCAUUGCCCAUUUGCAGAGGUUAUGGAAGUUGACAAUCUGAUCUGACUAUGCACAGUUCAAAGCAUUCAAUUGCAUCCAACGGACACCGCAAUUCAUUUACUGAGUACUCCUUAAUCCCCAUGUCCAUUUUUCUUCUUAAUUUGGGUUCCAUAUUCUUCUUACCCAAAAAAUUUAUUGUGAUACCAUCUGACUUCCAGCUUUGCUAGGAGCUACCCACCUUUCAAAGAUCCCAUUUUAUUGGAUUCCAUAUGACUUUCUGCAUUUCUUUCCUGACUUGUCAAACUAAUCUUACAGGUAGUUGCAUAGUUGGUUACAGUGUUCUGUUCUCCGUAAUUUGUUGAAGAUUUGCUUAAAUAGGAGUAGGAUUUCAAUAAUUUGCUCUUACUUCAAUCUCUUGAAUGUCAAUCAUGCAUAUAUUCAUACCAUGGAUUAAAUCAUGGCAUUACAUUACUGUCAUAAUGCAAUGGUAUUGGGAUGCCCUAGAAAACACUAAAAAAUCAUUGAUAAGCAUGUUCUGAUCUGACUCUAUUUAUCACAAUUUGAAUAUUUAUAGUUUUAUGAUUAGUAUUGUAACACCUAAACAUAGGUCUUCAAUACAAUAGCUGGAAUUAUUGUUGUUUA